rnacentral:rRNA from 1 species
CCCUUAGAUGUUCUGGGCCGCACGCGCGCUACACUGAUGCAUUCAACGAGUCUAAAACCUGGUCUGAUAGGGCUGGGUAAUCUUUUGAAUGUGCAUCGUGAUUGGGAUAGAUGAUUGCAAUUCUUCAUCUUCAACGAGGAAUGCCUAGUAAACGCAAGUCAUCAGCUUGCAUUGAUUACGUCCCUGCCCUUUGUACACACCGCCCGUCGCUCCUACCGAUUGAAUGUUCCGAUGAAUACCAUGGACUGAGAGUAUGAAUGGGUUCGCCUAUUUCUGCUUCUCGGGAAGUGGAGUAAACCUUAUCAUUUAGAGGAAGGAGAAGUCGUAACA